rnacentral:rRNA from 1 species
GGCCAGGCUGUCUCCACCCGAGACUCAGUGAAAUUGAACUCGCUGUGAAGAUGCAGUGUACCCGCGGCAAGACGGAAAGACCCCGUGAACCUUUACUAUAGCUUGACACUGAACAUUGAGCCUUGAUGUGUAGGAUAGGUGGGAGGCUUUGAAGUGUGGACGCCAGUCUGCAUGGAGCCGACCUUGAAAUACCACCCUUUAAUGUUUGAUGUUCUAACGUGGACCCGUGAUCCGGGUUGCGGACAGUGUCUGGUGGGUAGUUUGACUGGGGCGGUCUCCUCCUAAAGAGUAACGGAGGAGCACGAAGGUUGGCUAAUCCUGGUCGGACAUCAGGAGGUUAGUGCAAUGGCAUAAGCCAGCUUGACUGCGAGCGUGACGGCGCGAGCAGGUGCGAAAGCAGGUCAUAGUGAUCCGGUGGUUCUGAAUGGAAGGGCCAUCGCUCAACGGAUAAAAGGUACUCCGGGGAUAACAGGCUGAUACCGCCCAAGAGUUCAUAUCGACGGCGGUGUUUGGCACCUCGAUGUCGGCUCAUCACAUCCUGGGGCUGAAGUAGGUCCCAAGGGUAUGGCUGUUCGCCAUUUAAAGUGGUACGCGAGCUGGGUUUAGAACGUCGUGAGACAGUUCGGUCCCUAUCUGCCGUGGGCGCUGGAGAACUGAGGGGGGCUGCUCCUAGUACGAGAGGACCGGAGUGGACGCAUCACUGGUGUUCGGGUUGUCAUGCCAAUGGCACUGCCCGGUAGCUAAAUGCGGAAGAGAUAAGUGCUGAAAGCAUCUAAGCACGAAACUUGCCCCGAGAUGAGUUCUCCCUGACUCCUUGAGAGUCCUGAAGGAACGUUGAAG